ensembl:lncRNA
GGUGUUUUGGUUUUCUGUCUCUUACAGAGAAAGGAACAGACAACAGACGAGGUCACAGAGAUGCGAGGAUCCUCCGUAGCAGAGUCAGACACAGUGACUGCCGAGACAUCAACUGGGUCCAAGGGUCAUGGCGUUUGGGCUCCAGCUAGUCACCACAAAAGGAUGGAUCCCAUAAACACAGCAAUAACCAUGAAGGGGUUGGCGGAAAUCCGGAAACACCAGACCAACGAAGUUCGAGAGGCUUUUGGGCAAAAAGGGGACACCUUCCUGUUCCUUUUUCUGGAGAAUACACAGAUCGUUGUUUGAAAUCGGAGCAGAAUAAUCCCCUGAUCUGUGUUACGACUGAAGGGUUGUCUAACCCCUAAGGUUGAGGAAUUAAGAGCAGAGGAUCACCCAACUGGACGACACUGGUAGCUGCAGCAAUAAAAUAAAGGUUAAGAGCUCUUCGGACAGAGGUUCUAGUCUACGUCUGAAUGGUAUCAGGGAACAUCAAAUAAAGCUGUGGGAGAACAGGGGAGUGUCAUCUGGACCUGCUAUCCUUGUAGUAAUAGUUUGUCUUGCACCUGACUUGCGCAAACACAGAGGUCAUCUUACAUAUGGUUCGCCCCUCAGGGGGACAAAGGACCUCAGGAGUGAGAAGAGAUGAACCCGGCCACACUGGGCUACAGGGUGUUUGUGAGGUCAUUAUUCUAAUGACCUCAUCAGGGGGAAUUGUAAAAUUAUGAUAUUAUUUUAUGCCAUGUUAUACCCCUAAUUAAAGAUUGUGAAUUAUUAUGUAGUUUUAGUUUGCAUUAUUCUCCUGAAUUAGAAGAAGCUGAUAACUAUUGCAUUAGUUAAACUGAUUUGCAUUACAUUAAAUUGCUGACUUGUUGUGAAUGAAUGAUAUUGUUUUAUGAUGCAUUAUAUUGCUGAGUUAUAAGAAAUACUGUUCGCAGAAGGUUAUUGUCUAAUUUGUCUGAGUAGAAGAGAACAGAGUGUGCUGGAGUUUUCUGCCCCAUUUCAGCAGGAGCAGAUAAACAGGGAGCCAAGGUCGUAGCUUAGGCGCUGUGUGAGAGAGAGCAUGUGAAUGUUUAGGCUUUUUAUGAUAAGGUGGAGGCACC